CGUCAUCGUGUUUUCCCGAACGCAGCUGAAGAUGUAAACAAGAGGAUUGGCGAGUGCGAAAGCUCGUUUUGUCCACUAUUACCUUUCAUGAUUGUCCUUAUUUAAUCGCAAAAAUCAACAAUGGGUCUCCCUGUUACUAUUAAAGUGAAUUUCAGGGGAAAUGUAAAGAGAUUUGUUGCUCCAGAUUUGGACAAGUCGGAAUGGGAGUCGGUGGAAGCCUGGAUAAAAGCAUCAUUUGGAAUAAGCCAUUUUCAAGUGAAAUAUUUUGAUGAGGACAACGAGGAGGUUUCCAUCAAUAGCCAAGAGGAAUAUGAGGAGGGUGUGAAGAGUGCAGAGAAGCAGGGGAACCAGUUGCACAUGAACGUUUACAAGGCGAAGCAGGGGCAGGCUGGCACUGGGCCGGGCAAGACCCAAGAAGUGAAGGAGCUGAAGGGGGAACUCCGGCCAGCCCCUCCGUACCCUUCCAGGGUCAAAACUGUGGACAAAGGCACACAGGUCACUCCCGAGAGAGAUGCUGUGGUUGUGAAGGACAACAAAGUAACUAAGCCAGAGGAUAAACUUCCUCCAGCUUGGUUUAGAUCUUACAUGGAAAAAUUCAAGGAUGAGGUGGUGAAGGAGGUAGUGGAGAGGAUGUGCAGUGACUUCUCUGGCCAGUGUUGCACCCACAAGACCCCCAACUGUGAUGGGCCUCUCGAGGCCCUUGGAGCAGUGGGCGGAGUCAAUAUCAAAGGCCCAAAGGUGAACUCCUCCUCCACCGGCCCCCCCGCCUACUCCUCAUUGGGCUACACUCCGGAAUGCAGCAAAUGCAAGAGACCAGCCACCGAUGGAGCUUAUCAGUGCAGAGUGUGUCCGUCCUGUAUCUUAUGUGAGCUGUGUCGACACAGCCACGACCCCAGUCACAACCUGGUGAGAACAAAGACUCCCCUCUCCAUCCCUGAGCAUGGGAUGUCAGGAGAAUUAAGGUUUCCAAGGCGAGGAGACCGAACCGUGCGCAAGGCUGAGCGUCAGCGCCUCAAAGCCGAGCGGAGGCAGCUCAAGGCCGAGGUGAAGGAGAUUAAGAAGAAGCUGAGGCUGGAGAAGAGGGGCCUGCAAUGGAGCGGCCCUGCUUCUACCUCCGCCAGAUCCAACGUGGCCACCACCCAGGCCCCUGCUGCUGCCCCAGCACCAGGCCCUGCCCCAGACCCCCAGGCUUCCAGUCCAGAGGGUCCCGAGGUCUCCUACACCACCUUGGUGCCCACUAUGGCUGCCUUGUUUCUGGAUGAAAAUCUGCCUGACGGGACCCGCCGAGAGCCCGGCACCAAGUUCAUCAAGUAUUGGAAGAUGAAGAACUCGGGCAUCAUCAACUGGACCUCUGAGACCAAGCUGAAGUGCAUGUGGGGUAACCUGGCACUGGCAUUGGAGGAGAAGCGUGAGGUGGCCGUGCCCCUCCUGCAGCCGGGCCAGGUGGGCGUGGUCAGUGUGGCCUUCAUCGCCCCGGUGAUGGAGGGCACCUACACCUCCCACUGGCGCCUUGCACACUGCGGAGAGCAGUUUGGCCCUCGCGUGUGGUGCAGCAUUGUGGUGGCCCCCAGCACCAGCCCACACGCCAACUAUCCACAGAACAAAUACCUGGAGGUGGAGCCCGGGCCUGUGGUGGUGAAGGUGGAGGGGAUGUCGAGUAACAGCUCCAGGGACAGUGGUCUGGCCGUGUCUGUAGACUACUGCCACAGAGACUACCACUUCCCCUCUGUAGACCUGCUCACUGCACAGGAUCUUUUGUCCUUUGAAUUGCUGGAUAUUAACGUUGUGCAAGAGUUGGAGAAAGUUCCGAACAACACUCCAGUCGAUCUGACCCCCUGUGUGUCCCCUCUGCCCCACAAUGGCCCUCUACUGGAGCACCCAGACACCGACCAGGUUGAAAACAACACGGAGAUGAACCGGGUCAACAAUCUGCUAGGAGUGAACGGGGAGAACUCUGACCCACCUGGCCACGAGGAGGAAGACAUCAGCGGGACUCAGUUUGUGUGUGAGACGGUGAUCCGCUCCCUCGCCCUCGAGGAGGCUCCCGACCACAAGCCCCCUCGCAGACAUCAGCCCAGCUACUGCAAGCCCAAAGUUUUUGGAGCUGUAGCCUCAGGCCCUGUCUUCGGCUAUGAGAGGAAAGUAUUUGACACCGCAUUAAGAGUGACAGGACCAGAUUUGCUGAUGGGUGUUAUGAGAGAUCAAGGUUCACCUCCAGGCCUUCCCCAGAUCACACUUUCAGAGGAGACUGUCACAGAGGUGCUUCUGGCCCCAGAGGUUGAGAAUGUGUACAUGGAGCUGUAUGCAAUGAAGGAGGAGGACGAGGAAGACAACAAAGGCAGAAAGGAUGUGAAGGACCAGAAAGCCGAGGAUAAAGAAGAUCAAAAGGAUGACAACUACGUGGAGAUUGAAGAGGAGAAAGAACAUGAGGAGGAAGAAGAAGAAGAACGAGCGGACUGGGACGAGGUGAGCAGCCAAAUCUCCACCUUGUCCUCAUCCUCCUGCGAGGACUACGUCAUAGUCCUGCCGGACUGCUUCGACACCAGUCGGCCGCUGGACGAGUCCACGUACAGCUCCGCCCUCUCGGAGCCUGUCACUACCGCAGCCGUGGAGCAGGAGGCGGCGCCAGACUCUGAGCCUGAGGAGCUGGAUAGAGCCACCCCAGAGGGGGAGAGGCAAGAGAGGGGCGAGGCUGCAGCCACAGUCACGGAGACCACCAUCCACAGCAGUGUCAACCAGAUGCUGUGUGCCUCCCAGACGCUGGAUGCUGUCCCCCUUGCCCCUGAGGUGGUGCCACCGCCGGUCUCUCUCCUGCCCCCACAGGCCCUGUACACACACAGGUCUGAAGCAGUCCACGUUGCAGAGCCAACAAGUCAACGAGCGUCUGGACCAGUAGAACCAUGCCAACCAGUGGUCCAUUUAAAUGUAUCUAGUACAACCAGACCAUCGGGCUUAGCCAGUGCCUUGGAGAUGUACAACUCCAGACCCAACUCCAGACCCUGCAGCUCCCUGCGCCCAAGGUGGUCCGGGUCUCCUCAUGAUAUGGCAGGUGGGCCUUUCCUCUUUGGUCCUCUAUUGCUUCUCCAUUGUUCCCGCAAGCAAGGGGGAGGCCGAUGUCAUGAGACUGCACCCAUCAGACCAACUCCUUGAAUUUAGCAAUUGUCAUUUUAAAAAACAAUGCUAUUUUGCUUCAAACAUUUUAGUGUUUGUACUUUACUGUAUUUAUACUUGUAAUAUCACUUUUCAAUGGUAAAAGUUCCCCCCCAAAAUGUUUGUCUUGCUUGAAACACUUGGUUUCUGCCAACAAAUUAAUAUUUGAAUGUGAAACGUUUCAAUGUCUACUAAUCAUUAAUUGUUGAUAGGCACAGUAUUUUUGACACAUGACAUUUAUAUCUUAGUCAUUUAGCAGAAGAUCUCAUCCAGAUUAGGGUUAAGUGCCUUGCUCAAGGGCACGUCAACCCAUUUCACCUCACCGGCUCGGGAUUCGAACCAGAAACCUUUCAGUUACUGGCCCAAUGCCCUUAACCACUACGCUACCUGCCUACAGGUAGAUAUCAGAAGAUACAACUGUAAAUGAUAAAACCGCAAUAAAGAGAAGAUAUUUAAAGACCUUCAUGGUGUGAUGUCAUUGGUGAUAUAACUGUGACACAGCUCUUUUUUGACACGCUUUGUGGCAUUUUGGGUCUUGUGAAAGCAUUGCUAGCUCCAAACCACUGGCCCUGGAACAAAUUGUUCCCCAUAGUGGCUGACAACAUCCUUCCUGUUCUGUAGGGGCCAAGGCGGUAUCACGGAGGGACUAGUAAAGGGCGUUCUGUCAGUGGCAGCGUCCGCCUAUAAGGCUCUCUUCACUGGACAGAGCUGCUCCACACAGCGUGGUGUGGACCCGGCCAGCCAGGACGCCUCCAUGAUGGCCGUGCUGCUGGAGAUGGGCUUCAGGGACCAGCGGCUCAACCAGUGGCUGCUGAUGAAGCACAGGCACAACCUUCUGCACACUGUCAACGAGCUGGUCGCCAUGGCCGACAACACACUACUGACGGGCUGGUCGGCCAAUCAGCCAGGCCGCUACACGACCCCUGACACCCAAUGAGAGGGGGGGGGGGGGGGGGUUAAUUUUGACACUGAUGUCAGGUCAUGGGCUUUACCUAUUGACAGGGCCAGGGUAGGUUCUCUGUCCCAAAGAGAAUGGAGGUUGUGAAUGUAAUCAGAAUUCCAAUCUUCUCCAUUGUGUUGGGUAUUGAGACUAUUCUUGUUGUUUUGAAGGACUUACAUGGUUGAGUCACAGGGGGAUUCAAUUACAUAGGAAUGCUAAAGAACUGAGAUGUCAGAUUUCUUUUAGAUAUAGUAGUGAAUUGGCCUAAACAAUGCAAUAUUGUAUGUAUGUAUCAAAAGUACUGUUAUUCUAGAUGUCUGGCUACAAGCAACAUUUGACCUGUGGAUUGUAUAAGGAACAGACACUGCAGACUAAGGAAAUAAGCUGUUUCUUUUUAGGAGACACCUGCAUGUCAGUUUUAAGCACAUGAGUCAUACUUGUGGUACUUGUGGUACUAUAGGACUCGCAUCUAUAAAUGUUGUCUGCAUCACACUUGUACUAAUUUUCCUCUUUCGCAUUGUAAGAAUCAUCCCCUUUCUUAUAUUUCUAUCAUACAACACUAUGUAUAUCCAACCAUAACAUUCCUAAGUUUGUUCAUGGAACUUAUGGAAUUUCAUGGAAUUUAUUUACAGAUAGCCAGGGGCACACGCCAACACUCAGACACUUUUCAAACAAAGCAUUUGUGUUUAGUGAAUCUGCCAGAUUCACUAGGGAUGUUCUCUUGAUAAGUGUGUGAAUUUGACAAUGUUCCUGUACUGCUAAGCAUUCUAAAUGUAAUGAGUACUUUAGGGUGACAGGCAAACUGUAUGGAGUAAAAAGUACAUUAUUUCCUUUAGAAAUGUAGUGAAGUAAAAGUUGUCAAAAAUAUAAAUAGUAAAGUAGAUUAAAAAAAAUACUUAAAUACUACUUUAAAGUAUUUUUACUUAAGAACUUUACACCUGUUGAAUGGCACCGCUUGAAUGGCACUGAUUUAUUGUAUGGGUUUCUGUACAUUUUGUGUCUGAUGACUUGUUGAACUUAUAGGUUAACUUUAAGUAAUGUGCACGGCACAAAAUAGUUGAAAUGUAAAGAACAGAGGGUAAUUGUCAUGCUUGAUGGGAUUUUAUUAUGUAAGCACAAUUUUUCAGCUAAACCAUCAAGAAGCAUUAAGCUGUCGGUGUUAACUUUUAGUUCUGCUUUCUCAAAGUUUUUCAAGACAUGUUUGUCCUGUUCACUACGGGCUAUUAUAUUUGUAUUAAUUAAACCUACUCAUUGAGAAGA